rnacentral:rRNA from 1 species
UACGUAGGUGGCAAGCGUUGUCCGGAAUUAUUGGGCGUAAGCGCGCGCAGGCGGUCCGUUUAAGUCUGAAUGUGAAAGCCCACGGCCUCAACCGUGGAGGGUCAUUGGAAACUGGGGGACUUGAGUGCAGAAGGAGGAAAGCGGAAUUCCACGUGUAGCGGUGAAAUGCGUAGAGAUGUGGAGGAACACCAGUGGCGAAGGCGGCGUUUCUGGUCUGUAACUGACGCUGAGGCGCGAAAGCGUGGGUAGCGAACG